rnacentral:rRNA from 1 species
GAUGAACGCUGGCGGCGUGCCUAAUACAUGCAAGUCGAGCGAACGGACGAGAAGCUUGCUUCUCUGAUGUUAGCGGCGGACGGGUGAGUAACACGUGGAUAACCUACCUAUAAGACUGGGAUAACUUCGGGAAACCGUAGCUAAUACCGGAUAAUAUUUUGAACCGCAUGGUUCAAAAGUGAAAGACGGUCUUGCUGUCACUUAUAGAUGGAUCCGCGCUGCAUUAGCUAGUUGGUAAGGUAACGGCUUACCAAGGCAACUAUGCAUAGCCGACCUGAGAGGGGGAUCGGCCACACUGGAACUGAGACACGGUCCAGACUCCUACGGGAGGCAGCAGUAGGGAAGCUUCCGCAAUGGGCGAAAGCCUGACGGAGCAACGCCGCGUGAGUGAUGAAGGUCUUCGGAUCGUAAAACUCUGUUAUUAGGGAAGAACAUAUGUGUAAGUAACUGUGCACAUCUUGACGGUACCUAAUCAGAAAGCCACGGCUAACUACGUG